ensembl:lncRNA
CCGCUCCCGAACAAGACACCCUAACCACUUAGGCAUCCCAUUGAAAAGAUAUGGCCCAGCGUCCGCGUCCCCCCAACCCUUUGACAGGAACACACCCCUGUACCCGCCCCCUGGACCGCGUCCACCCUUGACAAAAUGUCACGCCAAGUUUUCUUGAAAACUCGACAGCCCCGAUAUGAAAGAAUAUUGAACUAGGGCCAGAUUAACACUUCGCAACAUGCAAGCAAUAUGCGAUUCCAGUGGACGAUUCCUAGAUGUAUUCAUUGGCUAUCCAGGACAACAGGGACAUGCUCGAGCCAGAUGACAUUUCAAGGGACAAUUUUGACGUCCAACCUCCCUGUGAAGCCUUGGCAUACAGCGAAACCUCUGGGAAUGCUACAAGGGACAGACUGGCUGCCCUAGUUUCAGGCAUUGUAUGAACUCAUGAAGAUGACCCAGAUGUGUAUUUUUGUCUGUGUAUGAUAUUUGCAAUAAAAUGUU